rnacentral:lncRNA from 1 species
UGGCUCAGUAGAAUUAGAACUGACUUUCUGAGGGCCAGAACUGUCCACCACUGGAAUGGGCUGGCUAUGAAGGAGGUGAUUACCUUGUCACGCAGUGAGGUAUGCAAGAAUAGCAGGAUGACUGCCACUAGGCAGAGAUGUUGAUGAGAAGCAAACUCAAAUAUUCUAUAGUUGGUUAGAAUAGGCAGAAUUGAGUUCCUAUCCUUACUCUGUUUUGUUUUGUUUUGUUUUGUUUUAAAUACAGAUGUGGUCUCACUGUGUUGCCUAGGCUGGUCUCGAACUCCUAGGCUCAAGCAAUCCUCCCACCUCAGCCUUCCAAAGUGCUGGGAUUACAGACAUUAAGCCACCAUGCCUGGCCUCUUAUUCUGUUCUUUAAGCAGGUGUAGAUGUGUGACUGUAAGUUACUUCACCUCUCUGUGUUUGUAGUUGAUAUGUCAGAUAAGUAUAAUAGCGGUACCUAUCUCAUAGGUAUUUGCCAUGAUUAAAUAGUGCUGGUCAAGCAUUUAGCCAAUGCUCAUCUCAUAAUAAGCAUCCAAUAAACUAUAGCUGCCCAUUAAAGCCUCUUACAGGGCUAGGCACAGUGGCUUACACCUGUAAUCCCAAUGCUUUGGGAGGCUAAGGUGGGAGGAUUGCUUGAGACCAGGAGUUUGAGAUUAGCCUGGACAACAUAGCAAGACCUUAUCACUACAAAAAAUUCCAAAAAAUUAGCUGGACAUGGCACAUGCCUGUAAUCCCAGCUACUCAGGAGCCCAAGGCAGGAAGUUUGCUUGAGCCCAGAAGUUUGAGGCUGUAGUGAG